ensembl:lncRNA
AGAACCCACCUGGCUUCCUAAGGGGCAAAAGUACAUGUUGUUUCUAUUAGUUGACCUUUGUUUCAUAUUUGCCCUAUAUUCUAAAGCAGGAUAUGCCACUGCCUCAAUUUCACAGGCAAGGGGCUAUAAAUAUACAGCCAAGUCUUGUGUUAGAUUUUUUUAGAGAGAGAGUGAGCAGUGGACUUACAGACCGUAGAUUCCAUACGGCAUCUUCUGCAAGGAGAAGGGCCUUUGACUUCUGCUGGUGCCAUUUGUCCCUGUUUCCAUGACAACAUUGAUCAGGAAAAACUGAGCUUGUGGCAAAGAUGCUGAAUUGGAGCAGCUUCUGAGUUGGAGUGAACAAGGAGGCCUGAAGGACUGAGAAAAUGAGACAAUAACGUCACGUCUCCCUCGUAAGCACCCCUCUCUGGCCGCAUUUAGGAAGUGCUGCAACAACAUCAUCUCUCUUGCUCUGUGGUUUCCUUUCAGCUUCCUGAGAGCUUGGAAGGAAGGAGCACCCUGCCCAUAUGUGGAGAAAUGUAUACCACCCUAAGUACUCAAAAGCAUGAAGAUAAAAUUAUGCAAUUGUCAACAGAACACGUUCUGCAAAAUAUGUGAGUGUUGUUUUUUUUAAGGAUCUGGAAUAUUGGUUCCAGUUCUCUCAACAUCAAUACUGAGGCAGGGAGCUAUUGUAAAUGUUAAAAAAAAUGCUAAAUUGGACAAUUGACACUACCUCAGGUUUUGUGGAUCUUUGAAGUGGAUCACUGUGGCGCAAUCCAUAACAAAAAAAUUUUUGUCCUCCCACCGCAUGCCUUAGAAGCAAAGUCAGAGCUGUUCUCAGGAAUGCGAUUUGGAAAGCUGUUGAAUGGGAGGGGAAUUUUUUUUUUUUACUUUUGAAAUUGAGUUUCUGAAUGUUGCUGGAGUAUUCAGAAGCAAUCAGUCUGCAUAGCCUACAAUAAUUCUAUAGUGUAUCUAGAACAUUAUUGAAUGCUUUCUCUCAAUCAGGUCCAGCUAUUAGGGAGAUGAAGGAGGCUUCCUCAGGCAGCAGCUUCUGGUCCAGUUAAAGCCCAUAAGUUUAGUGGUUGAAUGUAUUAUGAUACUUUUAUAGCUGGGCUGGGGAUUUUAUUCUGAGCUGCACAGGCCGAAAUGCCUUAGCCUGCCUCUGCUAGAGAUGAGCUCAAGCAAAAUAUUCCUGCAUUGCAGGAGGCUGGACUAGAUGACCCCUGGGGUUCCUUCCAACUCUACAAUUCUAGGAUUCUGUGCCAGAAAGGCAAAUACGAUACAUAAACUGCAGAAUCAAAGCAGCUGCAAAUUUGCUGGUUUCAUCUCCCCUUAGUUUUAACAAUCUUUGAUUAAUCAUCCUUUAUCUCUUUUAUGGUGGCCCCAAUGCCAAAGGAAUGACAAAAUUAGGACUACCAAAAUUGCACAACACGGGGAGCAACCUUUUGAGUUUUCCAGGGGCAAAAAAUAAUUAUUAUUAAUGAAAAUGGAUUCAUGCUAAAUCAGAUGCUGAGACCAUUUUAAUAGUAUCAGUUCCGUAAUAGCAAUCCCUUAGUGCUCAGGAACUGUGGGACCACUGGCCCGGCCUAAUUGUGGAACGUGUUAAUUUCUUCCCGGCUUUUUCUCUGAUUCUCUCCCUCUCCCCU